ACCGUUGGGGAAAUGCUCUAUUUAUACCGCCGGAGAACAGCAGCCUAAUCCUUCUUCUCCUCUCAGCUCUCAUCAGUGAAUAGCUUGGAAGCGCAGCAAUGGCGGCUUCUUCUUCCUCAGUUCGUUCCAGAGAUAGACGCCAACACCUGCCGCUCAUCAUGUGCCCUGAUUGCCAGGAGGUCAGGGUGGAGACAAACAUCUGUAGCAAAGAAGGGCCGAACGAGGGGAGGCGCUUCUACAAGCGCCCGAUCGACAGUGGCCCAGACAAGUGCGGCUGGUUCAGGUGGGAAGAUGUUUACGCCGGAAUCAUUCGGCGGAGGGAAGCUCGCCUGAGGUAUGGAGACCCAUACGGUGUCCAAGGUUCGAGCCAAGGCAUGGCUGGACAUGCUACGCAGACGCAGCCGGAGCAGGCACCCGAGAUCGUCAGGCAGCCGCGGACUGAGCAAGCACAGGCCAGGGGAGGCCGCGACUGGCUCGUUAUCUGCCUCAUGGUGAUCAACAUGAUCUUCACCCUGACCAUCCUUUCACGGGUGUGAUGAGCUACUAUCAAGCACGCUAUCCGUUCUAAUCGUAGACAUAUGUUUUCCAAUUAUCCACUGUAAUCCUUUCCCUCUAGUUCUAGUUGCGAGUCACUGAGCCUCUUGAUUAGGUCGUUAAUGGGUCAUCGAGUUAGCAUGCAAAAGCUUGUCAGUGUAUGCUUCAAGUUUAUGUUUAUUAAUAACCAGCUCAUCAAUGUAUGAUUAUAUGCAUCAUCGGAUGGACACGCUAAUCAGUCUAGCCAGCGUAAAAAUGUUGACAUAGUCAGAGAGAGGCCCCACUUUUUGCUUGAUUGGUGAUAUCUACUUGCUGGACGUAGUAAAUUGUGUUGACUAGUCAGGUCGGGUGUUAACUCUGUCGCCAACUGUGCACACAACCACCAUCACCUAGCAGUAAAUAGAACGCGUGCUAAAACUAGAAGGGAGCGGUGCGAGCCAUCUCCCCUGCUUUUCUGCCUCACUCACCGCACACCAUCUCGGCAUCUCCUUCCUCCCCCUACCAGCGCUGAAGCUUGCAUUGUAUCCAUGGCACCAGCCACUUAAGCAAACGGGUUCAGCCCUGCAAGUCGAGGAUUCAAGCAAGAAGAGGAGGCAGCAAGGAUUCAAGCAAGAACAGGAGGCAGGUUUUUGUGCUCGACAAUUUGGACCUGGGUCAGCUAACUCCUCGAGACCCUUCGACGCCCAGGGUCUGUGUUUUCGAUUAUGACAUCACCCGCAAGAUGAUAGAGGCGCUCAGUUGCAGUCAAAGUGGUGAACCAGCAUUUUCAAUCUCCAGGAAGAGCCACAUGUUCAGGACACCAGAUCAAAUGCUACAAGGUACAAUUCAAGCGCGGCACCCAACUCAAACAGGCAGGGCACAGCUAGGAAAGGCCCUGCUGACUUUGCAAACCAUCUUCGUGCCCGGUAUCCGAGCCUUUUCUCACACCCGGUAGCAAUUUAUCUGAGAGAACACAAUGCUCGUGCCAUGCGCAACAUGUUCGAAUUGCAGCAGGCAUCAUGCGACGUGAUGGUUGCUUUUGCAGACAAGAUAAUGAUUAGUUUAGCCGAUGGGUUUUACCGAGUAACUUCAACACCCCUGGGCAUGAAACUCAUGCAUUGCGAGACAUUGCAAUUGCUGGUGCAUCACAUACACCUGUCAAUGUCCCACCAAUCCGUUCUUUGGGUGCUAGCUUGCCGCCUGCAGUACAUGCGGAUGCUUGCUUGACAACUCAUUCUAAUAGCCACAGUCUAGUGCCUGGGAAGCGCAAGGAGCUAGGUACAACACCAUCGAGCAGUCGGCACUCUGUUGGAUCAACUACAUCCGGCACACACAGCACGGGUGAACCAAACAUGAAGAGAAUAUGUAUCCAGCAGCCCUCAUUUGAAGAUGACAAUGAUAUUUGUCCUCCGUAUAGCAAAGGGAAGACAAGUCAUUCGCACCGCAAUAACCUGGAUGCUUCAUGCGCUGAAUCAAAGGCCGCGGCACAGUUUGCUAGUGAUAUCAUAUCAGAGUUAAUAAUCUUAUAUGCAGACAAACACCCAGAUGGAUGCCAAGGCUCGAUUACUUUUGGCCAGAGUUUUUAUGAACACACUGAGAAAAUCCUGCUAGCUGGAGCUAACAUGGCACGCGAUCCUUGGUCAGCUGGUUCCGUGCCAUCUGCCCCGUCAGCAAUUGCAUGUUCAGCUAUAAAGGAUUGGUUUGCUAGCGCAGCAGAGUGUACAUUGUCUAGGGUCUGGGUCAUCCACAAGUGCCCAAGGCUAAUAUACAUGACCAGGACACACAUUGCUGACCAGCUUAUUAAGGGUCAACCGAUGAGUCAUGAGAUGUGCGCAGUCAUUAUGCGGCGGUUCGGCCAGAUCGACGCAACGCUAAACUGCGAUGAACCUGGGCUGAGGUGGAGAAAAUCCAUGGAGCCAGACUUUGAUACCUUUGCGAUUGCCGAUGGAGAGCUAACAACAAUUAGGUCUAUCCAGUAACAAUUCAAGCAAGAUCCCAUGUCAUUCAAAGUUGUAUCUUGUCGUAUGUUUUAUGCUCCUGCCAUUCUACCAUUGGGGUGGUGCCUAUACGCCUUUGAUUUCACAAAGAAAAAGAUUACCGUUCUAGACCCACUCAUUGGCACGACUGGUUUCAGCAACGAAAGCAUCAGGUUGCACGAGUACGCAACCGGGAAAAUCCUUGAUGGGUUGUUCUUGUGUGCGAGGCACUUCUACUCCAACUGGCCCUACAAAACAGAAAGAUGGACCAGGGACUUCCCCAUGAUCAUGGAGGACAAUUUUACUAGCGAGGAAUCUGGGCUUUGUGUGACUUUCUUAUCCAAAAUUUUCGAUGGCGAGAAGCUCGUGAAGUCACUAAACAAGGAAAACUUGGAGUUGCACCGACACACCCUCUUGUAUGACGUCAUGCGACUAAAGGACAACAUCUCGCUCGUCCCAUCAGAUGUACUUGAAUUCAUCAAGACCUCGUUCCAUGUUCUCUAAGCAUGACUUCAUGCAAUGUGCUUACGAUCACUCGCGCGCCACCCUCGCGAAGGCACCACAACUGAUUUUACGGCAUAUCAGCAUGUAUCC